rnacentral:rRNA from 1 species
UUCCAGACUCCUACGGGAGGCAGCAGUGGGGAAUAUUGGGCAAUGGGCGCAAGCCUGACCCAGCAACGCCGCGUGAAGGAAGAAGGCUUUCGGGUUGUAAACUUCUUUUGUCAGGGACGAAGCAAGUGACGGUACCUGACGAAUAAGCCACGGCUAACUACGUGCCAGCAGCCGCGGUAAUACGUAGGUGGCAAGCGUUAUCCGGAUUUAUUGGGUGUAAAGGGCGUGUAGGCGGGAAUGCAAGUCAGAUGUGAAAUUCCGGGGCUCAACCCCGGACCUGCAUUUGAAACUGUUGGUCUUGAGUAUCGGAGAGGCAGGCGGAAUUCCUAGUGUAGCGGUGAAAUGCGUAGAUAUUAGGAGGAACACCAGUGGCGAAGGCGGCCUGCUGGACGACAACUGACGGUGAGGCGCGAAAGCGUGGGGAGCGAACAGGAUUAGAUACCCCAGUA